GAUGAACGCUGGCGGCGUGCCUAACACAUGCAAGUCGAACGGGAACUGAUUUCGGUCAGGGAGAGUGGCGCACGGGUGAGUAACACGUAGCUGACCUGCCCCGGAGCGCGGGAUAACGGGCGGAAACACUCGCUAAUACCGCAUAAGCUCACACUGAUUGGAAGGGUGUGAGAAAAGCUCAGGCGCUUCGGGAGGGGGCUGCGGCCCAUCAGGUAGUUGGUAGGGUAACGGCCUACCAAGCCAACGACGGGUAGGGGGCCUGAGAGGGUGACCCCCCCACACUGGGACUGAGACACGGCCCAGACUCCUACGGGAGGCAGCAGUGAGGAAUAUUGGUCAAUGGGCGCAAGCCUGAACCAGCGACGCCGCGUGGGUGAUGAAGGCCUUCGGGUCGUAAAACCCUUUUCUGUGUGACGAGCAAGGACGGUAGCACAGGAAUAAGUCUCGGCUAACUACGUGCCAGCAGCCGCGGUAAU
rnacentral:rRNA from 1 species